GAGCAAGAGCCUCCUGUUUACAGAAAUCUCAGGCCCCAUGAUUUCUUCCUGUCAGGGUAGGAGAAGGAGUAGGCACAGAAUGUGGAGUUGAUCUUGCAGCUUCAGUCCUUUUGUUCUUUCCCAGCACGAGGUUACCUAGGAAAGGAUCGCGUGGGACGCCAGGGGUGAGGCUCUCACUUUGGGAGAAGCCAGCUGUCAUGUGUCAGGACACUCAGGCAGCCUGUGGAAAGUUGCACAUGGAGAGGAACAGAGGGCUCCAGUCAACCAACCAAUGCCAACAACCAUGUUCCCAGGUGCUGCUGUUGCUGCUGAGGGUCAGAGGACACAGAGACUCUGAGAACUGGUGCUCUGAAGAACAACGGAACUAAUUAGCAACAAGAGAAGACCACAGAUAAGAAUCUCAAAUACGAAAACACCACUGAGGAGACACUAACCUGACAUGCGAGGCCUCAGGGGGAAAUCAUGUCUGGCCUUCAUCUCCCCUGAAAUGCAUGCUAAAGGCAAACCAGCCACUGAAGGAACAAGUUCAGCAACAAGAACGCAAGACCCUGAAUAGCUUUUGCUAAUGAGAAGUGAUUUGGAUACACACAUUCAGGGAGUGCUAGAGGCCAUCUUACCUCAGGGCCUGUCUACCACUCUCUUUCUGGAGCUCUCCUCUCCUCAGCAAAUAGCUUCUGCCAUCUCUUGGGAAGCUGAACCCACUCCUUCACUGUGCCACGUCCCCUUAUUAUGAAUUCUCACAGCCAACCUUUUAUUUUGGAGCAUUUGCCACAACUGGAAUCAAGUUGUGUCAUUUGCCUUUGUCUUGUUCAAUGGUGUCUUCCCACCAUCUAGCACAAAGCCUACGCAAAUAUUUGUGGAACAAAUGCGCAGAUGCUGUGACUGAGGAACUUGCAAAUAUAUAUAACAGGGUUUCACGGAGGACUUGCUGACAGCUUUGGUUGAAGUCACAAGACAAGCUGUGCCAUCUACAUCCACCACUUCCACACUAGUACGUCAGAUUCUGAACCAUAUAUUCCGGGACUCACAGAGGGGGGUAGUAAAAAUAGCCAGCUUUUCUUCCCUUCUGGCUCGUCACUGGUGUAAAGGAUGGAGGUAGAAAAGUCAGCUCGUGUUAGAAAUCAGAGGGUUUCUAUAGAGGGUGACAGUGAGCUUCCCUCUUGCCAAAGGUUAAAGAGAACAGCUUCAUAAAAACCACUUAGAAAAACUAAUCUGUGUCUCCUCAAGCUUGGGGGACACACAGGGCUGGCAUGUGACUCAUGCCUGAAAAUAAAGGUCUAGCAGAAUCGAGGAUGCAUUUGGAAGUCACCACACUCAUGGAUACCAAGCCAAAAGUGCUGAUUGGUCUAUGACUGGGGUGGAAGUGUGGGUGAGCGACCAGAUGGGAUACCUCUAGUUGGCAUGUUAGUGUGAUCAUUUUAAAAUGGGCAGUAAGCUACUAGUUUCUUGCCUGAAGUGACGGUGGUAUGCUAUUGGAGGCAGACGCUGAGGGGCACUGCAAUAGCUGGCUAUAGGAGAGGCCAGAGGAGUCCGAGGCACCCAGGGUGGGCUCUGACAGUGCCCAAAGGAAAACAAGGCCAAGAACUUGAAAAGUGUCAUCCAAUCAGCCCUCUCAUGCUCCUUUUCUCUCCUCCCUACCUUCCGGUCCUUUCAUUCUGGGAAAUUCUUGGUGGUGGGAGGAGUGAGAAGAAUGGCAAAAAGCACUUGGCUAAAGCAGUCCUAAGCUGGACAAGGGGAGAAUAUUCAAUUCUAAGUGGAUUUCAGAAUUGUGGCUGUUACAUGACUGGACUUGCAAGUUAACUGAAACGAGGCCCUUGCUAAAAGUGAAUACAGGACUUACUUAAAAGUAGCUGUCUCUGAGGAAUUCUGGGACCUGCCAGAAAGUUCAUCUCUGAAGGCAAACAGCCCCCAAAAAGUAGGUUUGUAGUGACACACGACAAUUGCUGUUGCUUUACGAUUGCCCUAUCUAGUCCCUCAUGGUCAAUGUGACAGUACUGAUUUAAUCUUCACAGGCAUUAUUCUACUUUACGAGGGAUGAAUCCCUAAAUCUAGGGAUUUAGGCAAAUUGCUCUGGGUCACAGGUAGGUGAGUAUCACAACUGCAACUCAGGCCCGGGGUGGAGGACUCCGUGUUCCAUUCUUUCCUUCAAUACCAUAAAGCAUUUUCUAUCUGACUUCCACAAAGUACCAAAAGUACAGCUUUUAGGUCCCUAUUUCUGACCUGGCCUUGUCACCAUCUAUAUGUCAAAUCAUUUUUAACCAAAGACAAGGGGAAAAUGGUAAGAUGUGCACGUUAACAGAAGAGGGGAGCUGGGGUAGUUCACUCAGGCAAGAGGAGGGAAUGACUAGAAGGGAGGAGCAGGUGGGGAUGUGAGUUAAGGGAGGAGCAGAUGAUAAUUGGCUAUGACAGUCAUAAAGAUUUGUCAACAGGGGCAGAGAGAGUGGAGGGAAGGAGGAGGGUGGAGAAAAAGGUGGCUUUGCUGAAGGUCCCCAGUGUCUCCUUACAGAUGUUCUCAGCUGCAAAGUUCUGAAGCUCAGGUGGCCAUGAGACCCCUAGAGACCCUCUUGGCACUCCUUUGACAAGGCUGAUUUAAAUUAACUCUAUCCUUGGGAGGAGAAGGAAAAUCUUACAGGUGUAAGAAAAAAGUGAUUUUCACGGCAGCCUUUUAUCCUAAGCAUCUUACCUAUAAUGAGCAAUCCCUCUAGUAACUAGGUGGCAAGAAGCACUUAGGCUUCCAGACCAAAAGGCUCUUUUAAAAACUGUCCUCUAUAAAGACAACUGGAAAAGAGAAUAGAGAGAGUAUUCAAAGUUAAGCUCAAGUUUAGAACAAAUGCAUCAGCACUGUGUCUAAGUUACUGGUAGCCACGAUGCCAAGAGAAGCUAAUGUGGUACUUGAAAAAAUUCACAGAAAAAAAUGUAUUUCAAAGAGAAGUCGAAUUUUUCACAGAGCAAUCAAUAGCAGAGCGUUUAAAAUGUUCUGGGCUGUGUCCGUUUACCAGGGGAGCUCAAUCACUCUUAUGCAAAUAUCUAAAUUAACCUAAUAGGGUUGUUCAGUUCUAGCUGGCUGCUUUGCUACGAAUAUUGCUACAAAGAUUUCCACCUCUGAAUAAAAGAUGGAAAGAAAUAAAGUAUCCAAUAAAAAUACAUACAGAAAACAUACAAGGUGCCAGACACCUCGCUACAUAUGUGUCAGCCCAGCAACCUCCAACGCAGGUACUGUCCUGUUCAUGAUGGGAAACUGAGGAUCUGGGGCUUUAUAAACAUGCCCACGGCCUGUGGCUUGUGAAUGGCACAGCAGGACUCUAAGUCAGGCUGACUGGCUCGACUCCCUGCUCUGAACCCCUGUGCUCGCUGCUUGUGCUGUGGCACAGCUUCCCUGGUACUUUACCACUCCUUGUCUUCAUAUCCUUUUCUGGUGGUUGCUGGGCUGUUCUCAGCACCACCUAGAAGUGUGUAAGCUCCUGGGGUCUUAUCCGGCUCUCCUGUGUGCUGUCACUUAGACGUCUUCAUUUCACCAUCUACAACGUGAAGGUUUGGGACUCCUGUAAAUGGAGAACUAGCCCAGCCCAUCAACAUCAUUGCACUUUGCUAGCUCUCCAGUUACAGGCAUCCCAAAGUACUUUGAUUAUCCUCAAAAGGUCUAUCACUUGGAGGAAUACACAAAUGCUAGGCAUAAAAUAAAUGUCAGUAAAAACACAUGGCAAACGGACUUGCAAAGUCAAGUCAGUGUAUUAGUCCAUUUGUGUUGCUAUAAAGUUAUACCUAAGGCUGGGUAAUUUAUAAAGACGAGGCUCAUUUUCUGCAGGCUGUACAAUAAGCAUGGUGCCAACACCUACUUCUGGGAAGGGCUUCAGGGAGUUUUUAGUUAUGGUGGAAGGCAAAGGGGGAGCAGGUAUGUCACAUGGUGAGAGAGAGGAGACGCCAGAUUAACAAGCAGAUAUGCCAUGAACUUAUUAUGGGAGGGGCACUAAGCCAUUCGUGUGGGAUCUGUCUCCAUAACCCAAACACCUCCCACCAGGCCCCACCUCCAACAUUGGGAAUCACAUUUCAACAUGAGAAUUGGAGGGGACAAAUAUCGAAACUCUAUCAGUUAGUUUGUCAUGGGUGCCAGUCUGCCAUCACUAACUGAUUCUUAGUCAUGACUUGGGAAGAUAAAGUGGCAAGAACACAAACUUGAAUGACAGAGCAGAUUCUUGCAGUAAUCCAAAUCCCUGGGCCACAUGAAUUUUAAAUAUGACCAAUAGAAAUAGUCUGCCUCAUUCAUUCUUUUCAUAAAUUGUUAUUGAGCAACUUUUAUAUGGCAGGCACUAGCCUAGAGGCUGGGGACACCCUGGUGAACAGAGCAGUUUCUUCUCUCACAGAGCUUAAUAAUGCAAUUAGUAUCCAGUUAUAAUUAUGAUAAAUGCCACAAAGGAGAAGUAUAGAAUGAAAGAC